AACGAACGCUGGCGGCAGGCCUAACACAUGCAAGUCGAGCGCCCCGCAAGGGGAGCGGCGGACGGGUGAGUAACGCGUGGGAAUAUGCCCUUUGCUACGGAAUAGUCUCGGGAAACUGGGGGUAAUACCGUAUACGCCCUUUGGGGGAAAGAUUUAUCGGCUAAGGAUUAGCCCGCGUUGGAUUAGGUCGUUGGUGGGGUAAUGGCCUACCAAGCCGACGAUCCAUAGCUGGUUUGAGAGGAUGAUCAGCCACACUGGGACUGAGACACGGCCCAGACUCCUACGGGAGGCAGCAGUGGGGAAUCUUAGACAAUGGGGGCAACCCUGAUCGAGCCAUGCCGCGUGAGUGAUGAAGGCCUUAGGGUUGUAAAGCUCCUUCAGCUGGGAAGAUAAUGACGGUACCAGAAGAAGAAGCCCCGGCUAACUCCGUG
rnacentral:rRNA from 1 species